UUUAUUUUAUUAGAGGAACCUGUCUUUUAAUCGAUAAUCCACGAUAUUUUUUACAUCUGUUAAAAUUUUAUAUACCUCCAUCUCUAGGGUUAAUAUUUAUAUUUUUCCCUCAAUAGAUUUCUAAAAGGUUAGGUAAAGGUGUAGACUAUGCGGAUGAUCAUGAUGGGUUACAUUAAAUUUUAUUUAAGGAUUAUUCUUUAAAAAGUUAUUUGAAAAAGGAUUUGUCAGUAAUUUUUGAAUAAUAUUCUAUACUGAACAAGAUAAUAAAUGUGCACACAUCGCCAUCGCUCUA
rnacentral:rRNA from 1 species